GAGACAAAUGUCCUUGUUCUGGCUCCUGAAGAUCAGCAGAACACAGCACAGCGCACGCACAGGAAUGAGGCCAAGAAGCAGGGCUGGAUUGUAGGUGGGAAUCAAGAAUCUUGAAGCCUUCUGACCCAUUUCCAACAAGGUCUAGAAGAACAGACUGCGCAUGACUUGAAUGAACCUGAGUCAGUCAGUCAACAAACACUUGCUACAAAACCCCUCACUGAUCCUCGCAUCAGCCCCUGCAACACUGUGCUCUCAUCCUCACAACCCCAGAGACUCUGGCUACCCUGUGUUAACAUCUGCCUGGCUGCUCCGAUUUGCUGGAUGGAAGCUGGGAAGAGGGAAGCUGGACUUUUGCU